UUGUUUCAAUUUCAGAAAUUGUAUAGAAAAUUAGAAAUUGUUUUUCAGAAAUACUGUAAUCUGUAUAUUUAGUGGCCAAAACUGUCGCAUUUGCCUAUUUUUGAGAAACUUUAGCAAUGUCUACCUAAAACUUAGCUUGUGUUUUAAGUUAUACGUAUUAAUCGGUAAACUUUUUCCAAUUGAGGCGUUUGCCUUUUGAUCAAUAUAAAGAAAUUAUUGAAAAAGAAAUAAAAUAUUAUCUGAGGACUUGGUUCAACCAUACCUCGUGUGUUUCUACACACACUAUGGUAUUUACAUACAUGAUUAACAUUUCCAUUUUUAGCGCGAGUAGGAAUAUGUGUAUAGAUUGUAAAACAGAACCAAUUUUUUCACGAGUGAAAUUUACGGUUUGUUUCUGAGAGGAAAAAUCAAUGUGUAUAUCGUUUAAUUGUAUUUACCAAGUGUCUAGAAAUAUACCACUUUUUUAUGUUCAGUUUUCAUAAGCAGAGCAAUUUUUUCCCCAAAAUCAAUCAAAAUUGAAAUAUAGCAUUUUAAAAAUUUUGUUGAACUGCAUUUUCAUCACUUGAAUUAGUAUUAACAUUUAUAUAAUCAAUUAAAAGUUGUCAGGUUAAAAAUACGCUUAAAGAUAUAUAUGGCUCUAAAAGACUGCAUGGGAAAAUUUCAAAUUUUUUAAUGUUUUUUUUUUGUUUUUGUUUUUUUCAUUUGAAAAAGCUUUUCGUCGUGAUAUUUCCUUAUUUACAGACUUGUAUAUUCAGUUGAGUAUGGAGCUAAUGUCUAAUCGCAAUGUUCGUUAAAAAUAUAAUUUCUGGGUUUAAAUGAUGUAUGCUGUCGAUGCAUUGUCAAAAUGUUAAGGCAUUUUGUGGAAAUUAAUUUGCUUCUAGCAAUGAAAUUUUGUUGUUUAAGACAAUGUCUUGCUAACCACUUAACAAUUGAUCUCAGAUGCAUUAUGACGAAUCGACUUCUCUUACUUAGGAUCUAAACAUCGCGAUAAAAGCAUUACUUUCCAUACUCAAGUGAGAAUUUCGAUCAUGCACUUAACCAAAAACACUUCGUAUCCAAAAAAAGUUGAAGAAUGUAGAGUUUGCUUUGUCUUCGAGCCAUAUAUAUUUUUGUAAUUGUGAAACAACUCUGUUACCUUUAGAUUUUCCCGUCAAACCCAUAAAAUUUAUAAUUAUUUAUCUUGAAGUAUAAACUUUUAUCUUGAAAAGACCAAGUUCUCUUGUUUCUUCAUGAAUUAACUUUUCAAUGUUAAUUCACGGGUAAACAUGUUUAAUGUUGUGUUUAUGCACUUAUGUUGAACACAAUGUUAAUUGUUCUCCUUGUGCCAUGUUCUGUUUUCUUCUAUUGUUAUUUAAAUAAGUACAGUAUGCUGUGGUUGUUCUCUUUUUAUUGUUAUUCAAAUUGUAAAAUUUACAAGUUCUUUUCAAUAAAUUGUCAUUAAUUAUACAAGAGACUCCCUUUUUAAUUAAAAGUUCAAUUCCCAUGGGAAUUGAAAAAAAAAAAAAAAAAAAUCCCCCUACCCCGGCCGGCUCCCCAAGUGCUACCUCUACUUCAAGCAGAAGCACUUCUACUUAAAGUAGAGGCAGCACUCGGAGAGCCAGCCGGGGUAGCGGGGCGAAGAGAAGACCAACCUUGCAAAUGCAAAUUGCUAAGUUGAUCUUCUCUUGAGAGCAGCCACGCGCAUAUCUAUAGCAAAUUAAAACAAAACAAGCAUAUUAGUAACAAAUACUCGGCAUGCAAAUUUUGAAUCCCAUGGCUGAAAUGACAAGCCCCCCACUGAUUCCUAACCAACUGCCUCAGUCCUAAGCUGUCUGCCUCAGUCCUAAGCUGUCUGCCUCGGUCCUAAGCUGUCUGCCUCGGUCCUAAGCUACCUGCAUUCCAUUCGUAACUUCCGCUUUCCUCAACAUCACACAGACACUCGCAACUGCCCAACCUGCCAC
rnacentral:lncRNA from 1 species